AGAGGGAGACUCAAACCUCCGUGGGGCUAGAAAUUCAGAGAAUUAGCAGGGAUUGGAGGCCAACGUGAGGACGCUGCAGAGACAGGAAGCCUGAGCUCAGAGUGUGGGCAGAUUCGAAAAAGGAAGGGAGUCGAGAGCCGGGAUGUCGACACAAGUGGGUUCCUGAAUGCCAGUGGGAGGAAGGGUGGCCAAUGAAGGACCGGCUUGGGGUGGAGACUAGAGUCGUUGGACCCGGUUUCCAGAGCAAGGGCAGGGUUUCCAGUGUCCAGCUCCCACAAGGCUGAGACGUGCCCAGUUCCUCUCAAAGUCAGGCCCGGGUCAGGUGGUUUUGGAAUCUUCAGUUGCGAUGAAGGAAAACGAGUGUCCACCUCUGGGCUCCAAGACGGCCUUCAGCCUGGCUUGCAAGUUAACCAGACACGGAGAUUUGUGAGAUACAGAAGAGAGGAAAGCACAGAAGAGAUGGCUACAUGAAAUGGAGGCAGAGAUUGGAGUGAUGGAACCACAAGCCAAGGAACACUGACAGCCACCAGAAGCUGGAAGAGGAAAGGAACAGAAAAUCUCCUAGAGCCUCUGGAGGGAACAUGGUCCUGCUGAUACUUUGAUUUUGGAUUUCUGGUCUCCAGAACCAUCAGAGAAUAACUUUGCCCUGUUUUAAGCCAUGAAAUGUGUGGUAAUUUGUUGUGGCAGACACAAGAAACUAAUGUACUGUCCCCUUUGAGGGCAAGGUGUCCACUCCCCAGUACAGAGAUAGCUCUGUCUCCCCAGCAUUAGCUCCAGAGUCCCUCAGAUCCUGUGAGUCCUGAGGGGACACCUAAAUGCCAGUGGAUGUCACAUGUCCAGCUCCACCCCCUUGACCACUGCUGCAUUCUCCACACUGUUCCUGGCUGGAGCCCAUUGUGUCAUCUUGGUGCAGAAGGACAGUCACUUACACUCUCAUCCCUCCUGCAUUCAGACAAAGGCACCUCCUGUGCAAAAGGGCCUCCCUCACCCCUGGACCCUGGUCCCUGCUGGGAGGACAGGACCGAGGCUGGACACUUUUCCCGGAAACCCUGAUUUUCAGGGUGAGGAGUUGAUUACCAUCACCUCUAAUGGGGAUAGGUUUUGCUGUCUCUCUUUGAGGAUAAUUAUGGCUUUUUAUAUAAUCAUGUUUCAUUUGUUCUUUUGGAUGCCAAAAUCAUCAAAUUUGGUCACAGAUUUGGUCAUAGCAAAAUACCUACCUAACGGUUGUCAGAGCCCCAAAUGUGAAAUUUUCAAAAGAGAACCCUCUCAUUGGGGAUUUAAAGAUAGUGAGGGCUCACCAUUUCUGUAGGUUUUUUGUGGCUUGGAUUAACGUGGAAUUCACAUGGGGGAUGAACAUAUCCAUCCGCCCUGAGAGGCAAGGCUGGCUUCAUGGGCUGUCAAUCUGUGCAGUCACCAUCACUUGAAAAGCCUGUGCUAGUUAUCCUCUGCCAUCUUAAAAUUCCUUUUUUUUUUUUUUUUAAAUUGAGUUCAUAAUAGUUUAUGUCAUUGUGAAAUUUCAGUUGUACAUAUAUCUUGUCUGCCACCACACAAGUACUCCCCUUACCCCCUGUGCCCACCUCCCACGCCCCUUUGAAAUUCUUAAUGAGUUUUGAACAAGGAGCCCUGCUUUUUCAUUUUACAUUGAGUCCUACAAUUGAUGUAGCUGGGUCCGCCCCUGGGAGUGACCAUAUGGUCAUAGGCUCCCUUUGGAAAAAGAAAGGUAUGAUGCCAUCAGGAGCUGCCAUAUGUCCUGUAGUCACCAGAGGUAGCACCAUCGCGGGGUAACCUGGGGGGCUGUGAAUGCAGGCAUGUAGGAGUUUGGCUUUUUCUACCCUAUUUGUGCUCAUAGAUCUCUAACUGCCUUCCGUCCCACUCUGCAACCCUAGCUUACAGAGGGAAUGUUUUCCAACUCUGCUGUACUUCAGAGAUUCAAAUUUUUUGUCUCUACAAUCUAAGGUGGGGGAGGCGGGCAGGGAUCACAGCUAAUUGGCUCAAAUGUGGAAAGCAUUACAUAGACAUAAUAAAGUCCACACUGAAUGUUGGUCUUAGGAAAAUAAUCAAGAGAUGGGAUUGGAAGUGUGUAUGCAUUAUGGUGACAGGGAAGAAAGCAUCUGAGUUCUUAUCUUCCAAGAGGGAAGACCUUAGAUAAUGCCUGAAAGUGGAAAAUCAGUAAGUAGCCUCUAAGCAUGUUUGUCACAGAUGACUUUGUUUCUCUCCUGAGGAGUUGCUGCUGUUUGGGGCAGAUCUCAGUUUAGCCCAAACAGAAGCCAGGACCUUCCUGUGAUCACUCUGAACAGAACACACAAAGACACGGGGCUUAUCAUGACCAAGGCCAGUUUUGUCACAAAUCCAAGAAAGAGAACAUCUAACAGGAGGAAGCCAGAACUGCUUUUGCUUACAGUGUGAAUAUCAGGAAUAGAAUAAUAGUUUCAUUUUUCUGGCUGCAGUGGGCAGUGUGACAAGUGGAAAUCUCCUUGGGGUUGUAGGUCAUUCACAUCAAACAAUAUGCCCCCUCCAGGCAAGCCUUACACAUCUGAUUAAGAUUCAUGCAAGAUGACCAAAGUUGUUGGGUCUUUGUCCGUAUGACAUAUGGGGACUGACAUGUUUUCUAUAUUUUUUUGACAUCAGGAGCAUGGAAUCACAAAAUCAUAACUUUGCUCAUAAUCCAACAUCAUCACCAGUUCAUAAAUGGCCUUUCUUUCAAAAAUUAUUAGAACCAGGGUCUAGUUAUAGCUUCCAGAAAGAACCACAAGGUCAGGAUUGGAAAUCUGGCUCAUAAGGAAGCUCUGUCUUGGAUGAACAAGCAAGGAAAUCAGGACACUGUCACCACAUUGGUUUCAGACAACAGCACCUCUGCUACCACUUGCACCAGCAAAUUCUUCCCACUCUCAGCCACUUGGCACCCAACUCCUGCAUGGUCCUGGGUGCCAAGAGAAGCACAACAUUCUUCUCACAGGAACCACUUCCCUCUUCCACAAUGUGAAUCUGCUGUCAGAAAUCCUGGGAACUGCUGUCUUCAGCUUCUGUCUUUCACAUUUUUCCCAAGGGGGUUGGAAGACACUAAGUUGAUCCAGCAUAUCAAUCCUAGACCUCAUGGGACACAUCUAAUGUAACAUGUCCACAACCAAGACCUUUAUUCCCUCCACCUCCCAAACGGAUUCUCCCAGAGUUUUCCUCUUCUCAGUCAAGAUCAACUCUAUCCUUCUUGGAGCUCAGGUUGGAAAUCUUGGUGGUAUUUUUGAUGCUUCUCUUGCUCUUGCAGUAAUGUCUAAUCCAUCAGCAAACCCUGAAAUCUGUCUACCAGGUUCUUUCCUUAAUCAAGCCUACAUUCUCUCGUUGAUUUGGCCAAGCAUUCUUGGUUUUCCCAAAUUCUCCCCCUAAUUGUUCCUCAAGGAGUUAUUUUUCUCUCAAAAUCUCUACUGUCUGGCCUCUUAAUUUCCCUCAAAUCUUUCAGUUGUUAGUUUUAUACAAUUGUCUCCAGAGUAUUCCUCAAUAACCCAUUUCUUUCCCCCAAAUAUAUUUUUUUUCUCAAAACCACCCUUAACUAAACUCUUAAAGCCCCCAAACUCUUUGUUCAAUUUCCCCUGCAAGUUUUCUCUUAGCCGUCCCCAAUUUCUUUUUGCUUUAACCAAAUUCUUACAAUAAUUUUGCCCCAAUCUUUAUUUCUCCUCAAAAUUCCUCUUUUGCUCCCAACCUCUUACUUUAAUUUUCCCUAAAUCCAUUCCUUGAUUUUACCCAAUUCUUCCUAAAUUCUCUCCAUGAAUAUCACAAAUUCUCCCUUAAUUUUCCCCAGUUCCUCCCUUGGAACUCCCAAAUUCACAGCUUGGUUCCUGCUCCACCAUCCUCCAUCAUCCCUUUGAGUUUCCAUUAAUAUGCCUAACUCUCCCCCGAGUUUCCCUCACCCGUGUCCUUCGGUCUCCUCCCUCGGACCUGAAAGCCCAGUUUCUCCGCAAUCCCACAAACACUCUUCCCUUGCCGGUUCCACUCGCCCGCCCAACGACUCCCUGCGCCCCAAGUCAACACCUUUCCUCUGAUUGGCUGGGAGGCCGUCUUUGGAAAGCAGUCCCUGCUUCCCCAUUGGUUCCUCUCUGCCAAGUCCCCGCCCCACUCCUCUCUCCCCCCCCCUCUGUCUCUCUCUGUCUCUCUCUCUCUGUCUCUGUCUCUGUCUCUGUCUGUCUCUCUCUCUCUCUCUCUCUUUCUCUCUCUCUCUCUCUCUCUGGAAUUUACCGACCGGCACCGCUACUUCUCGGCCCCUAAGGGCCACACGUCUACACUCCCACCGUGAGGCCCACCGGAACUUAUCUCGCUCCCUCUUGCUUCCUGCUCCCUGGGCGCCAUGAGAAGCUCUGACAGCAGAGGCAGCAGAGCGGACUUCAGUUUUGGGGACCCUGUGAACUCCGGUCACCUGCCGCCCCGGGCGCCGCCAUCUUGCUAGGAUUAUGUAACCGGAAGGGGCUGGUCUUCUUCCACCUGCCCGGUUCAGGCAGUGACGUCUUUUCUUAUGGCCACGCCCCCUCCUGCUUUCCAAGCCUCUCCUUAAAGGCGCCCGCACUUUUUAUUCUUACGGAUUGCUGGGAGCGCCCUCUCAAUAGGCUUUAAAAUAGGGCUUCGCAGCCUUUCCUUGGGACAUGGUGGGCGGUACUGCCUGUUAGAAGACCUUCCUUCCCUCAGAGUGUUCACAGUCCCCCUGAGUUUCCCUGUUGCUUCAGCUGUCCUGUCUCCCUGCUUAAAAUGGGGAGGGAGGUGACAGAAUCUGACUGCGUCAUUCUCUAAGCCAGGGUGAGGGAAGGGAAAGAUGGAGGGCGUUGGAGAAGUUAAGACUUCAGGAUAAGAGACAGACGUGAGAUCUCAAGACUAGUAAUGUGAUUUCAAUUUGGAGUUCAAGUCUAUAUCUCACUGUGAAGUUUCAAUGUGAAGUCUUCUGGAUAGGAUUAUUCAUUCAUUCAUUCUGAUGCGGGGUAUUUACUGAGCACCUACCACAUGGGAGGAGCUUCUGGGUGCUGAAGUUACCAUGGUGAACAGGACAGACCAAGUCCCUCUCUGAGGAAAUCAACAUUCUAAGCAGGGAGAGGAUGGGGGAAUCUCUGCCAAGUGGACAUCUGGCUGCUGGGCCAGCUGUGCAGCCUGGGGCUGGAGAUGGGGGCACUGCAGGAGGAAGUGGUUGCCUUCCUGGAAGAAGAGGAGAAAGAGCAUCGAGGAAGAGGAGGAGGCCGAAGAUCCCAAAGGAAAGCAGGAGGAAGGACACAUGGGGAUCUCCUACCUUGGUCUUUCCCACUGCCUCCUCAAGUUUGAGAUGACUAUCUGAGGCUCUGCCAGCGUGCUUCUAAUUGAGAUGGGAAUGAGAUGCAAAUUUAUGCAAAGAAGAGGGGAUGUGCAGGUCAAAUCAAGUGUAAAUGUUGAUUUGGAGUCCACAUGUGUUCCUUGAACAAGUACUUUCUCUGAAGAUGUCUGAGAUGAGACUGAGGGGUUGGCCUGUGAGCUGUGGGCAUGUUUGUGGGUGAUCAGGGAGGUUUGUAGAGAAACUCUAGGUGUAUUUGCAGAGGAGCCGCAGGUGUGUUGCAGAGGAGACGUGGGUCUCUGCAAAUAUGGUGGAGAUGUGGGCAGAGGCUGUUGUGCACCUGAGACGUGGCUAGCCCUAUUGAGAUGCUCCGUAUGUGUGACAUAUACACCGAAUUUCAAAGGCUUGGUAUGCUAAAGAGAUUAUCAAACAUUUCAACAAUCUUAAAAAUUAAUAACAUAUUGAAAUGAUAAAUAUUUUGACUAUAUCGGGAUAAAUAAAAAUAUUACUA